CCUGGCUCAGAUUGAACGCUGGCGGCAGGCCUAACACAUGCAAGUCGAGCGGUAGAGAGAAGCUUGCUUCUCUUGAGAGCGGCGGACGGGUGAGUAAUGCCUAGGAAUCUGCCUAGUGGUGGGGGAUAACGUUCGGAAACGGACGCUAAUACCGCAUACGUCCUACGGGAGAAAGGCGGGGGAUCUUCGGACCUCGCGCCAUUAGAUGAGCCUAGGUCGGAUUAGCUAGUUGGUGAGGUAAUGGCUCACCAAGGCGACGAUCCGUAACUGGUCUGAGAGGAUGAUCAGUCACACUGGAACUGAGACACGGUCCAGACUCCUCUCGGGAGGCAGCAGUGGGGAAUAUUGGACAAUGGGCGAAAGCCUGAUCCAGCCAUGCCGCGUGUGUGAAGAAGGNNUUCGGAUUGUAAAGCACUUUAAGUUGGGAGGAAGGGCAGUAACCUAAUACGUUAUUGNUUGACGUACCGACAGAUU
rnacentral:rRNA from 1 species